AUUGAACGCUGGCGGCAGGCCUAACACAUGCAAGUCGAGCGAGCGGCGGACGGGUGAGUAAUGUAUGGGGACUGCCCGAUAGAGGGGGAUAACUACUGGAAACGGUAGCUAAUACCGCAUACUAUCGGAUAACCCAUAUGGGAUUAGCUAGUAGGUGAGGUAAUGGCUCACCUAGGCGACGAUCCCUAGCUGGUCUGAGAGGUUGACCAGCAAAACUGGGAUUGAGACAGGGCCCAGACCCUUACGGAGGAGGCAGUGGGAAACAUUCGAAAAUGAGCGCAAGCUGAAUGCAGCACUGCCGCGUGUAUGAAGAAGGCCCUAGGUUUGUAAAGUACUUUAAGUCGGAAGGCGUUACCGACAGAAGAAGCACCGGCUAACUCCGUGCCAGCAGCCGCGGUAAUUC
rnacentral:rRNA from 1 species